rnacentral:misc_RNA from 1 species
ACUGAGGUGGCUUGGACUUGGAGUGUGCAGGCGCAAGCCAGCUCCUCUCUAAAUGCAUUAGCGGAACGUCUGUUCGCGGCGCGGUGUGAUAAUUAUCUACGCCUCUCAAGCCGUGUUUGGAUCCCUGCUUCUAACCGUCCCUUGUGGACAACUCUUUAAUGUGUGACCUCAAAUCAGGUAGGACUACCCGCUGAACUUAA